UGUCAUUUAAAGUAUGGUGCGGCAUUAACGUCCAUACAGCAAUUUAAUUUGUGAAUUUACUUUACAGCAAAUUAACCUACUUUAAAGGGUGGUGCGGGUUUAUCGUCCACGCCUUUACUGUUAUUUAAAUGUAUGGAACAGAAUUAGUGCCCAUACAAGCACGUUUACUUUACCGCACAUUUAAAGUAUGGUGCGGGAUUAACGUCCAUACAAGUAAUUUAUUUACCAGUAAAUUUAUUUUAUGGAUUAAUUGUGCUGUAUGAUGAGUUUUUUACAGUAUACAGAUCAGGACCAGAAGUUCCUUGAUCCUCAUCAUACAUUUACAUCAGGACUUGAAGAUCCUUGAUGAUGAUAUUGAUAUGAGAGCUGGCAGUCUCUCCGGUACUAUAUUUGUAAACAUGUGAUCUGACUUAAGGGUCCUUGAUCCCUGACAUGUGAAUAAGGACCUGGGUUUCCUUAAUGAUGUAACAGUACCGUAUUGGUUAAAAGUGCCGUACACAUGAAUAAUAACUGUACUGGCAAAUGUACUACACAUAUGAAUAGGUAUGUAUUCAUGAUUGAUGAAUAGUACUAUUCACAUGAAUAGUGACGUAUGCAUAAAUAUUAACCAUUUUGGGUAAACCGUCACUAUAUACAAAAAGGGAACCUGUAGUUCCUUGAACUCAUGGAUGAGCAAAGUAAAUGAGAUGCCAGAAGUUCCUCAAAAUAUGGACAAUUAUGUAAGGGCUUGAAGUCCCGAAAUAUGUACAGAAAAUUAUAAAAAUGUCCAUACCAUGAGAAUAUGUGAUUUUGGCCUGAAGUUCAAAAUUUAACAGUGUUGAGAACCUGAAGUUCCAACAAUUAAAUGGACAACCU
rnacentral:lncRNA from 1 species